rnacentral:rRNA from 1 species
GAUGAACGCUGGCGGCGUGCCUAAUACAUGCAAGUCGAGCGAACAGACGAGGAGCUUGCUCCUCUGACGUUAGCGGCGGACGGGUGAGUAACACGUGGAUAACCUACCUAUAAGACUGGGAUAACUUCGGGAAACCGGAGCUAAUACCGGAUAAUAUAUUGAACCGCAUGGUUCAAUAGUGAAAGACGGUUUUGCUGUCACUUAUAGAUGGAUCCGCGCCGCAUUAGCUAGUUGGUAAGGUAACGGCUUACCAAGGCGACGAUGCGUAGCCGACCUGAGAGGGUGAUCGGCCACACUGGAACUGAGACACGGUCCAGACUCCUACGGGAGGCAGCAGUAGGGAAUCUUCCGCAAUGGGCGAAAGCCUGACGGAGCAACGCCGCGUGAGUGAUGAAGGUCUUCGGAUCGUAAAACUAUGUUAUUAGGGAAGAACAAAUGUGUAAGUACCUAUGCACGUCUUGACGGUACCUAAUCAGAAAGCCACGGCUAACUACGUG